UCUAUAAACUAGUAAAUUAUUUUUUUAUGUCUCACUCUGUGAUUGAUGUAUAACGUCAACUUACCGUCAUCUGAUAGGAUACCCAAUCCCCUCCCAAGAAAAUAACAAGGGCAGUUAAAAGAGAAGGUAGCCGGUGGUGACUUUGUCACAUGUUGACUAACCACCAUAUGCAGUUGAAUCGGAUUCAAACCAUCUCCUUACAAAAGAAAAAUACACAACCCGUGACCGACCCUUUUCCCUCAUCUUGCCGAAGGGUUUCCUUCUCGCUCCUCCUCCUCCACGCGUGACUGUGGAAUCCCGGCGAGUGAGUAGUUAUCGGAAUCCCCAAAUCCCUCACUCAAACAGCCCUGCGAUGCCACCGCCAUUUGCCGGCAUACCACUCUUUUUCCUCUCACUCCCUAAGUUCUGUCGGAAAACCAUCUUCCCUUCUCCCGUAGCCUUCUCAGGCUUUCCCCCGUCGGUCUUCACCCUCCUCCAUUGUUCCUCUCCUAAAAUCUUAGAUCCGACAUCACCAUCACUAACUGCUGACAAACAGGAUCUCCGGUAACACAGGUAAGCGGUAAGCCCCCACCCUCUCUCUCUCUCUCUCUGCAACUUUGUUCUCCCAACCCCGCCACCCCUUUUCAAGUUGCAGGAAUCGAUUAUUGGAUCCAAUGCUCUGGAUCGGGAAUCGGGAGUUGGGACCGGGUGAUGCCGAUUCUGAUUCGAAUUGGGAAAAUCAAAGUUUCAAACCAUUGCGUAUCCAGGGAGAAGAAUUAUUCAUGGAGGAGAAUCGAUGCUAAGCUGUGUAACCCUUGCAUCAACGCAAAGAUCAAUAAGACCCGCGUGAGGGCCGGCAUCCAAUAGAGGACAUAAAUUGGAUGAUGGCACACAUGUUAAGCACUUCAGCUGUUGGAGUUUGAGCUCAUAAUCUCUUCAGGUGCCAAAAUUCACAUCUCCCAAGUCAAAGGAUCCUCCUACCCGUUGUGCCCACUACAUAUCAUCAUGGACCUUUCUUAGCCAGGUGGGUGGACCACCUACAAAACACAUACCAAUACCAAACCCAUACUAGUCUCUACUGAUCUACUCUAAUAUUAUAUACAUAGCUAAUAUACAAGUAUUUAUUUAUGGAAUAACUCUUACUACUAUAUAAUAUAAUAACAAUGGGCUAGUUUCAAUUGGAUCA